AAGUUGCCAUUUGACAUCAAUGGGUCAGUUAGAAUGUGUUGAAGCAUCCAAAAUACAUCUUGGUCCAAAAAUGACGAAUUUAUUCAGCAUUGUCUUCUCUUCCAUGUCUGUUGUGUAGCGCAUGUGUCUGACUAAAGUCUUGUGACUCAGAUGGCGUGUUAUCCUCAGAUAUGUUUGUGAAUUUUUUUUCACAUUUACAGCAUUUGUCUCCCUCAGACUGUAAACGAAGCUCGGGCGCACCAAAACAAAAGCGGGGACGCACCUAAUAACACAUCAGCCACGUCGUACGUCAGCUGCGUCACUGCAGUCAUGUGACUUUAGUCUCAUACUUGUUAUUAUGCCUGAUAAGAAUUUGUAAUCUUUGUGUUUAAACAUUUUUCGAAUUUUAAUCCUUGUUUUUAAAUGGCCAUGACAGUGACAAAAAGGAAGCAGCCUUCUCUAGCCCACCCAAGUUUCCAUCAAAGGAGCAAGCCUAUAAGAAGAAAGCUGGCUAACCCUCCCACCCCUUGUUUAACUCCUCCAGCCCAUCCCACAUCAUUGUAGAGUGAAGAGACUGCGGUUAAUAUUCAGAAAGAGGCGCAGAGAACUGAAGGCUUUCCUGACUUGACACCGAAUAAUAACGAAGGCCUGUGUGCUUUGCAGCAGCCCCCACGUCACCCUCUUCCAGGGCUCCGUCAGAGGACUAACGAUAUGCCACAAGAUGAUUGGCAGCAAGACACACCCAGUGAUGAAGGGAUGUGCUCUCCUUAAAUCACAGCCUAUUCAUCAGGUACUCCUGAGUGCUGUGUUAAGAAAUCCUGCCUACAAAGUUCCACUGAGGCUGAUAUAAAGAUGACUGUGAGAAACUGGCUGCGGCUGUCUGAGCAGAGACAGGAAUGGGGGCGGCAAAGGCGGGACAAGCAAGCAUCUUAAGUGAAAUAAUUGAUUGGACUGAUUCUGGAGUAUGACUUAUUCUGGAGGGAAUUUCUUAUUUUUGUUGCAGUUUGCUAUGGGACGGUUUCAAGGACAGGGAUUAGACUAGUUCUAGACUAAAAUAAAUGUAAGAGCUGUCCAAACUGAAAACAACUUGCACUGACAUAUCAUAAAAUACAUCAGUGUCUUUUGUGAUGCUUCAAAAUGCACACAAGUAAUGUUUUUAUUAAGACAUGUUAUUAAAACUAGUUAUAUUUCAGAAUUAAACUAAGGCCUAGUCCCGGUUUAAGAUAAUCCCUGUCCGGGAAACCACCCCAAAGUGUAAUUUGUGGAGUGUUAAAAUAAAUGAAACUGCCUUUGCAAAAACAAAGUAAAAAAAAUUUCCAGAU